UUGGAGGGCAAGUCUGGUGCCAGCAGCCGCGGUAAUUCCAGCUCCAAUAGCGUAUAUUAAAGUUGUUGCAGUUAAAAAGCUCGUAGUUGAAUUUCGGGGUCAGUAGGUUGGUCAUGCCACUGGUAUGUACUGGUCUCACUGAUUCCUCCUUCCUGAUGAGCCGUAAUGCCAUUAAUUUGGUGUUGCGGGGAAUCUGGACUGUUACUUUGAAAAAAUUAGAGUGUUUAAAGCAAGCUAACGCUUGAAUACAUUAGCAUGGAAUAAUGAAAUAGGACGUUCGAUCCUAUUUUGUUGGUUUCUAGGAUCGACGUAAUGAUUAAUAGGGAUAGUUGGGGGCAUUAGUAUUCAAUUGUCAGAGGUGAAAUUCUUGGAUUUAUUGAAGACUAACUACUGCGAAAGCAUUUGCCAAGGAUGUUUUCAUUAAUCAAGAACGAAAGUUAGGGGAUCGAAGACGGUCAGAUACCGUCGUAGUCUUAACCAUAAACUAUGCCGACUAGGGAUCGGAUGAUGUUAAUUUUUUAAUGACUCAUUCGGCGCCUUACGGGAAAC
rnacentral:rRNA from 1 species